UUCCGGUUGAUCCUGCCGGAGGUUACUGCUAUCGGAGUUCGAUUAAGCCAUGCGAGUCUAAAGGUUUCUUCGGAAACCUUGGCGGACUGCUCAGUAACACGUGGAUAACCUACCCUUGGGACUGGAAUAACCCCGGGAAACUGGGGAUAAUACCGGAUAGAUCAGGGAUGCUGGAAUGCACCUUGAUCCAAAGCUCCGGCGCCCAAGGAUGGGUCUGCGGCCUAUCAGGUAGUAGUGGGUGUAACGUACCUACUAGCCAACGACGGGUACGGGUUGUGAGAGCAAGAGCCCGGAGAUGGAUUCUGAGACACGAAUCCAGGGCCUACGGGGUGGCAGCAGGGCGCGAAACCUUUACAAUGUGCGAAAGCAUGAUAAGGGAACUCCGAGUGCCAGCAUCUAAUGUUGGCUGUCCUUGUGCCUAAAACGCACAAGAUAGCAAGGGCCGGGUAAGACCGGUGCCAGCCGCCGCGGUAACACCGGCGGCCCGAGUGGUAGCCGCUAUUAUUGGGUCUAAAGGGUCCGUAGCCGGUUCGAUAAGUCCUCUGGGAAAUCUGGUUGCUUAACAAUCAGACUGCCAAGGGAUACUGUCGAACUUGAGACCGGGAGAGGUAAGAGGUACUUCAGGGGUAGGAGUGAAAUCUUGUAAUCCCUGGGGGACCAUCUGUGGCGAAGGCGUCUUACCAGAACGGGUCUGACGGUGAGGGACGAAAGCUGGGGGCGCAAACCGGAUUAGAUACCCGGGUAGUCCCAGCCGUAAACGAUGCUCGCUAUGUGUCAGGUACGGUGUGACCGUAUCUGGUGCCGUAGGGAAGCCGUGAAGCGAGCCACCUGGGAAGUACGGCCGCAAGGCUGAAACUUAAAGGAAUUGGCGGGGGAGCACUACAACGGGUGGAGCCUGCGGUUUAAUUGGAUUCAACGCCGGA
rnacentral:rRNA from 1 species